ensembl:misc_RNA Metazoa_SRP Metazoan signal recognition particle RNA
CCUGGGUGUGGUGGCUCACACCUGUAAUCCCAGUACUUUGGAAGGCCAAGACAGGAGGAUCACUUGAGCCCAGGAGUUCAAGACGAGCCUGGGCAACAUAGUGAGACCCUGUCUCUU